rnacentral:rRNA from 1 species
CACGUAGGAGGCAAACGUUAUCCGGAUUUAUUGGGCGUAAAGCGCGUGUAGGUGGUUCUGUAAGUAGGGCGUGAAAGCUCCUGGCUCAACCGGGAGAGGCCGUUCUAUACUGCAGAGCUAGAGGAUGGUAGAGGGAGGUGGAAUUCCAGGUGUAGCGGUGGAAUGCGCAGAUAUCUGGAGGAACACCAGUGGCGAAGGCGGCCUCCUGGACCAUUCCUGACACUCAGACGCGAAAGCUAGGGUAGCAAACGGGAUUAGAUACCCGGGUAGUCCCU